UACGAAGGGUGCAAGCGUUAAUCGGAAUUACUGGGCGUAAAGGGUGCGUAGGCGGUUCGUUAAGUCUGUCGUGAAAUCCCCGGGCUCAACCUGGGAAUGGCGAUGGAUACUGGCGAGCUAGAGUGUGUCAGAGGAUGGUGGAAUUCCCGGUGUAGCGGUGAAAUGCGUAGAGAUCGGGAGGAACAUCAGUGGCGAAGGCGGCCAUCUGGGACAACACUGACGCUGAAGCACGAAAGCGUGGGGAGCAAAACGG
rnacentral:rRNA from 1 species